AAAUUGUCAUUCAAUACUUCGUUACUGAGUUGUGUGUCAUAACAAAACUGCCUACAAUGCAAUCGAUUUUACACUUCGUAAUGCUUUUAUUGGCGGCUAUCGCUUUGUUGAGUGGUUUUGCGGUGGCUCAACGACAAGGCGGUGGUAAUCCGGGUGCACCUGGUGCUCCUCCUGGUGGUCCAGGUGCUCCAGGCAACCCAGGAGCGCGUAGAUUGUAAUGAACUUAUAUUAACAAAUAAAUAAAAUAGCAAAAAAUA